UGCAAUCAAUGAUGAAAAUUAUGUCCAUUUCAAUGAUAAUCCCAUGAUUAUUAAACACUAGAUCACCAUCUUUCGGCUGAGAUUGCA
rfam:Eutrema salsugineum unplaced genomic scaffold scaffold_5, whole genome shotgun sequence.